AAUUUUUUUUUUCAAAUUUCGAGUUCGAAUCGAGUUGAAUUUUUGAAUUCGAAUAACUCGAAUAAUUCGAAUAAAAACUAUAUUUUUUAUUUUUAAAAUAUACUACAUAUAUUUUUUAUUUUUAAAAUACACUACAUUUAAAACAAAAUCACUUCCAAAAUCCCUAACUAAGCCCGUGCCCUCCCUCCUCCCUUUUUUCCCAAUUCGAAAAUCUUCACCUCCGGUCCACCCCCCUCCACCGAUCCACCUCCGGUCCCGGGUCCUCCACGGCUGACUGCUCCACCGCCAGUGCUUUUACAUCUUCUACCUUUGAUUUCUAAGUACCUUGGUUUGAGCUCUGCGAAUCUUUCUAAAGCAACUGAUUGGGUACACAGGUAACAUUCAAACUUCCCUCUUUGUUAGAGUUAACACUUGUCAGCUGUUAAAGAAGUCCUCUUGAUCCCAGUGAAAAGAUCCAAACCAACAAAUCUUUUAUCAUAAAUUAUGGGUUUCUGUUGAAACAAAUAAAAAGAAAAAACAUUGAAAAAAAAUUCUGGCUUCUGUCAUUAAAAUAAGCUUUUUUCUGGUUUUCCCUUAUUUUGUCUUGUUUUUGUUUCUUGGUGUGGGAUAUGAGUGUUUUCAAUUUUGCCUCGUGGGUUUUUGGAUUGAACUUUAAGAAUUAUGCGUUGAACGGUCGUAAAUUUUUGGCGAAGAGAGAAGAAACUUGUUUCUUCAUUGUUUAUCAAAGCAAAGCAGGCUUGAGUUUUCUUUAAGUUUGCAGGGAGAGAGUGGAAUUCCCUUUUAUUUUCGCUACUUGUUGUUUAGUUCUUAAGCUUUUCUUGUGGGGGUGGUGAGAAAGAACUGUUAUCAUCUCUGGUACUAAACAUAACCAACACAAAAAAUAAGAAUCUUUAGAGGAGGGAAGGAUCGAUGUAAGCAAGUAAGAUGGAUUGCGCCUACGGUUGGUUAUUGGAUUGUUAAUUGUGAUGGUGCCUUCAAUUUAUUGUCGAAGGAAGUUGGAAUUGGGGUGAUCAUUAGAGAUUCUAUGGCUGCUUUAGUUGCUAAGAAGGGAAGAAGUUUCUUGGCUAGCUCUACCCUUGAAGUUGAGGCUCUUGCUAUGCAUGAAGGUUUUUUACUUGCUGACAACAAGAGACGCCAACAGAGCUGUAGAUUAGGUUGCAUCUCAAUUCAGGAGGAGGAUGUGCCUUUCCAACUGGGUGGAUUCAUCCCAUCUUCUCUGGUUCCUAUUCUGAGUUGAGAUGAAUUACCAACACCCCAUUGAGUGUGUUUUCUUAAACGAAAUCUUAGAGAUAAUCUAUUACACUUCUCUAAAAGAUUCUUAUUUUUUGUUUUGGAGGUUAGUUAGCUUCUUUUCUGGGUUUUUAUUUCUAUUUGGGGUUCUUUUGUAUAGCUCUGCCAUCGUUUAUGCCUAUGGAAUGUGUUAUUUGUUUUGUUUUUCUUUUCAAUGGGUUGCUUUUAAUGUUGUUGAAAUUUGAAACUUAGAUUGCUUUUCUGGA